AAUCAACGCUGGCGGCGUGCCUCAGACAUGCAAGUCGAACGAUUAAAGCUCUCUUCGGAGAGUGUAUAGAGUGGCGCACGGGUGAGUAACACGUAAGUAAUCUACCUUCGAGUGGGGAAUAACAGUCGGAAACGACUGCUAAUACCGCAUAAUGCAGCGGCAUCGCAAGAUGACAGUUGUUAAAGGAAUUUAUUUCGCUUGAAGAGGAGCUUGCGGCAGAUUAGCUAGUUGGUAAGGUAAUGGCUUACCAAGGCUACGAUCUGUAACCGGUCUAAGAGGACGGUCGGUCACACUGACACUGAAUAACGGGUCAGACUCCCACGGGAGGCAGCAGUCGGGAAUUUUGGGCAAUGGGCGAAAGCCUGACCCAGCAACGCCGCGUGAAGGAUGAAGUAUUUCGGUAUGUAAACUUCGAAAGAAUAGGAAGAAUAAAUGACGGUACUAUUUAUAAGGUCCGGCUAACUACGUGCCA
rnacentral:rRNA from 1 species